CAAAGACAGAGGACAGACCCAAAGGCUCGGUGAAAAACUCCACCCAAGCACCUUCUCAGGCAAUGAAACUUGGGCACGCUCUGAAAUCCCUUGGACAAAGGACUCACAGACAAAACCAUAGUAUGGCUCUGUCUCUGCCUUGAUGUUUCUGUGCAUGGCUGACCCUGAAGACCAGGGGAAUUGAGUACAACCAGACCUGCAACUGCGGAUCCUGUCACAUGCACCCUCCCGGCGGCUCCUCUCAGCUCCAACUCCAGACAUGACACAGCAGGCGUGAGUCGUUUAAAAGCAAUCCUCUCCUACUGGAGAUGAAAAAAUAAAUGCCAGCUUAAUUCAUCUA